GAACAAAGAUUUCAAAAGGAAUGACAACUUCACAAAUAGUUUUAAAGAAAAGAACUUUGACUUGAAUAAUCUGGAUUUUAGCUUUUGAACUCUAUUUUGUGAUGCUUGAGUCGAACUGAGUCGGUGGGUACCGAGUUGAGUCGGAUGGGUGUUGUUGUAGCUGCUGAGCCGAGUCAGGGAAGGUGGGCAACAGCCUCAGGGCUUUGUUUUAUCACCGGAGUUCAGAGGGAAGAGAUGGAGGGAGACCGGGCGUCGACUGUGGUGGCACGGCUGCUGCUGUAGUCUGUCCGGCGAGGCUUUGAGAUGAGGGAGAACGGAUGGAGGCAGCGCUGCGUAGGGGCGGCGUCGUUGCCAGAAAUUGAGAGGAGCCGUGAUUGGGGCUAGGGCUCAGACGGCGGAGUCCCUCACCGUCGCCGUUCUGGGUCAGAGAGGAGGCGAGAGCAGAGGGGUAAGGGAGAUGAGGCGGUGACCGUGGCGGCGGUUGCUGCCGCCGAGAAAGAGAGGGAUAUGGGGCGCCGGUGUGGCCGGAGAUGAGGGAGAAGAUGAAGGGAGUCGGGAGAGGGGCGGCGUGUGUGGGUCCGUGUGUGUGUGGCCAACCUUGAGUGAAAUAGAGUCGAGGGAGUCGGGAGAGGAGUGGCCGGCGGCGUUCGUGGCCGGAGGAGGAGCCGUGGCGGCGAGGUUCUGAGAGAGGGCCGGAUUCAGUAAGGUUUGAGAGAGAUUAGAGAGAGGGCGAGUUGUGGUGCUGAGGGAGAGAUUGAAACCUAUCUUGUGAGUUGUGACUUGUGAGUGUGAAGCGGCAGGUAGGAAUAAGAGGAAUAGGGUUGGGGUGUUGGGCCAUCUGUUUUGGGCCGGAAUUAUUAAAGUUUGGGCUGCAGAAUUAAUUUGUGGUUGGGCCACACCAUUUUAAUUAAACUCUUGGGUCUGAAUUAUUUUAAAGAAUGUGGGCUGCCCUAUUUACUUUACUUGGGUGAAUCUGCAUUUAAAUUAUUGGGCUGCCAAUUAAUUUCUUUAAUUGGAUUAUUGAUUUAAGCCUAAAUUUAUUAUUUAAUUAGACUAUUAAUUAGUUUAAUUAUUUAUGUUAAAGAAUGAAUUGCAUAAUAAUAUUAUUAUGUACAUACAUGCUGCAAUUACUUAUUAUAUGAUUAAGCAUGAAAUUAUUUGCAUUAAGUAUUUGUGCAAUAAGAGUAUUUAUGAUUUAAAUUGGUUUUUCAUAAAUCCAAUCAUCAAAGAAAAUCGAACAAGGAUAUUGUUGGUGUCCUUAGCUCAGGAUUUAAAUUUUCAAGUAUUUAUGAUUAAAUUUUGAAAAUCCGACUUGGUGAAUCAUAAAAUGUUAAGCACUUUCACUAUGACUUAAGAUUACAUUCGAGAGACCUAUUAAUAAUAGAUUUCUUGUAGGCUUUGUGGUUCAGGAGAAUUAGCGUCGCUAUUCCUAUUCAGAGUUAUGACUAAAACUGCAGACAUUGCCUAAUCAGGUAGGCUUACUUUCCAAAUGUAUAAAGUAUGAAUGAGUUAUUAAGCUCUAAAUGUUUCAAUGAAAUGUAAAUUGUUUAUUCAAUGAAAUGCAAACUGUUUAUCCGAUAAAAUGUUUAUGUGCACUCUGCUCUGUUUAAGGCUCGCCACAACGAAUCGUUCAAGGUUCUCUUAUGGCCUAACACGUUAUUUGAGAAUUAUGUACACUCGUUAGCUGACCUAGUGGGUUGAUCUCCAUCGGGCACUAACUAAUAGACGUUAUAAGGGUGCUUGCUGGAUGUGUUCCGGAGCAUGUAAUGUAAGGCCUGCCUGGGUAGCGUCCCGAGGUCAAAUGAAACUUGUCUGGGUUACGCCCUCAGUUCAAGUAAAUGGGAGAAAUGGAUCUAACGAUGGCUAAAAGGUCCGGGAUCACAGCGAGUAAUAGAAAGGGAGUGUGACAUGUGCGCACAAAUAAAAGAAAUUAUUUUAACAUGCUUAGAAGUUCUUUCAAUUUAAAACCUUCUAAGUUAUGUCAAUUAUGAUUGGAUAAACUGUCUUUACGAAAAUAUGAAAUGUUUCAUAAAAUGCAUGCCCACUGAGUACAUUAGUACUUAACCUAAAAAUACUUUCAAAUGUUUUUCAGGUUGGCUGGUCGUUGCUGACGGGACGAGCUGAGGCUAUGGUUCAACUUUCUAUUUUAGACUUCCGCUAUAACAAUAACUCUUAUUUGUCUUUUGUUUUCUCAACUUAAGACUUUCAUGUUAGAUUUAGAACGGCAUAUCUGAUUGAGC
rnacentral:lncRNA from 1 species